GUGGGGAAUAUUGGACAAUGGGCGAAAGCCUGAUCCAGCAAUGCCGCGUGAGUGAAGAAGGCCUUCGGGUUGUAAAGCUCUUUUACCCGGGAAGAUAAUGACUGUACCGGGAGAAUAAGCCCCGGCUAACUCCGUGCCAGCAGCCGCGGUAAUACGGAGGGGGCUAGCGUUGUUCGGAAUUACUGGGCGUAAAGCGCACGUAGGCGGUCUUUUAAGUCAGAGGUGAAAGCCCGGGGCUCAACUCCGGAAUUGCCUUUGAAACUGGAAGACUUGAACACGGGAGAGGUGAGUGGAAUUCCGAGUGUAGAGGUGAAAUUCGUAGAUAUUCGGAGGAACACCAGUGGCGAAGGCGACUCACUGGCCCAAUACUGACGCUGAGGCGCGAAAGCGUGGGGAGCAAACAGGAUUAGAAACCCGGGUAGUCC
rnacentral:rRNA from 1 species